rnacentral:rRNA from 1 species
UUCUUGGCGAGUUUGAUCCUGGCUCAGAGCGAACGCUGGCGGCGUACUUAACACAUGCAAGUCGAACGGGGAGUGUCGGUGUAGCAAUACAUCGGCGCUUCGAGUGGCGCACGGGUGAGUAACACGUGGGUAACCUGCCCUUGAGUUCGGGAUACCCUCUCGAAAGGGAGGCUAAUACCGGAUACGUUCCUCGGGUCGCAAGACUUGGGGAGGAAAGGUAGCGCAAGCUGCCGCUCUUGGAGGGGCUCGCGGCCUAUCAGCUAGUUGGUGAGGUAACGGCUCACCAAGGCGACGACGGGUAGCUGGUCUGAGAGGACGACCAGCCACACGGGGACUGAGACACGGCCCCGACUCCUACGGGAGGCAGCAGUGGGGAAUUUUCCGCAAUGGGCGAAAGCCUGACGGAGUGACGCCGCGUGGGGGACGAAGGCCUUCGGGUUGUAAACCCCUGUCAGAGGGAAAGAAGGGUUCGGGCGUGAAUAGCGCUCGGAUCUGACGGUACCUUCAGAGGAAGCCCCGGCCAACUCUGUGCCAGCAGCCGCGGUAAGACAGAGGGGGCAAGCGUUGCUCGGAAUCACUGGGCGUAAAGGGCGCGUAGGCGGGAUGGCAAGUCGGUCGUGAAAUCCCUCGGCUCAACUGAGGGGGGUCGGCCGAUACUGCCGUUCUUGAGGGAUGCAGAGGAGACUGGAAUUCCCGGUGUAGCGGUGAAAUGUGUAGAGAUCGGGAGGAACACCGGUGGCGAAGGCGGGUCUCUGGGCAUUUCCUGACGCUGAGGCGCGAAAGCGUGGGGAGCAAACGGGAUUAGAUACCCCGGUAGUCCACGCUGUAAACGAUGACGACUAGGUGUGGGGUGGUUCAGUCCAUUCCGUGCCGCAGCUAACGCAUUAAGUCGUCCGCCUGGGGAGUACGGCCGCAAGGUUGAAACUCAAAGGAAUUGACGGGGGCCCGCACAAGCGGUGGAGCAUGUGGUUCAAUUCGAUGCAGAGCGAAGAACCUUACCUGGGCUUGACAUGUAGGAAGUAGGAACCCGAAAGGGGGACGACCUGUUAAGUCAGGAGCCUACACAGGUGGUGCAUGGCUGUCGUCAGCUCGUGCCGUGAGGUGUUGGGUUAAGUCCCGCAACGAGCGCAACCCUCACCCUAUGUUGCCAUCGGUUCGGCCGGGCACUCUUAGGGAACUGCCGGCGAAGAGCUGGAGGAAGGGGGGGAUGACGUCAAGUCCGUAUGCCCUUUAUGCCCAGGGCUACACACAUGCUACAAUGGUCGGUACAGAGGGUUGCCAACCCGCGAGGGGGAGCCAAUCCCAGAAAGCCGAUCUCAGUUCGGAUUGCAGGCUGCAACUCGCCUGCAUGAAGUAGGAAUCGCUAGUAAGCGCAGAUCAGCAGGCUGCGCUGAAUACGUUCCCGGGCCUUGUACACACCGCCCGUCACACCACGAAAGCCAGCUGUACCAGAAGUCACUGCGCCAACCGCAAGGAGGCAGGUGCCCAAGGUAUGGUUGGUGAUUGGGGUGAAGUCGUAACAAGGUAGCCGUAGGGGAACCUGCGGCUGGAUCACCUCCUUUCUAAGG